rnacentral:rRNA from 1 species
GAACGCUGGCGGCGUGCUUAACACAUGCAAGUCGAACGAAGCACUUUAUUUGAUUUCCUUCGGGACUGAUUAUUUUGUGACUGAGUGGCGGACGGGUGAGUAACGCGUGGGUAACCUGCCUUGUACAGGGGGAUAACAGUUGGAAACGGCUGCUAAUACCGCAUAAGCGCACAGCAUCGCAUGAUGCAGUGUGAAAAACUCCGGUGGUAUAAGAUGGACCCGCGUUGGAUUAGCUAGUUGGUGAGGUAACGGCCCACCAAGGCGACGAUCCAUAGCCGACCUGAGAGGGUGACCGGCCACAUUGGGACUGAGACACGGCCCAAACUCCUACGGGAAGCAGCAGUGGGGAAUAUUGCACAAUGGGCGAAAGCCUGAUGCAGCGACGCCGCGUGAGCGAAGAAGUAUUUCGGUAUGUAAAGCUCUAUCAGCAGGGAAGAUAAUGACGGUACCUGACGAAGAAGCACCGGCUAAAUACGUG